rnacentral:rRNA from 1 species
CAGCAGCCACGGGAAUACGGAGGGUGCAAGCGUUAAUCGGAUUUACUGGGCGUAAAGCGUGCGUAGGCGGCUUUUUAAGUCGGAUGUGAAAUCCCUGAGCUUAACUUAGGAAUUGCAUUCGAUACUGGGAAGCUAGAGUAUGGGAGAGGAUGGUAGAAUUCCAGGUGUAGCGGUGAAAUGCGUAGAGAUCUGGAGGAAUACCGAUGGCGAAGGCAGCCAUCUGGCCUAAUACUGACGCUGAGGUACGAAAGCAUGGGGAGCAAACAGGAUUAGAUACCCCUGUAGUCCCUGUCUCUUAUAC